rnacentral:lncRNA from 1 species
UUUGGUUGAAUUUAGAACAAAGCUAAUUACUACUUAAGAAACAAGCGUGUGUUUCCCCUUCUCCCAGGAAUUGGAGCAGGUGUGUAGGCCUUAGGUCAGAGGUGCCUGCUUAUCUGCACCUGACAACACUUCUCCACUCUGGCUCCAUGAGACCCGAAGUUUUGAAAUCAGCAUCUGAGUCCGUCAUGCAGCUUGUCUCAGGACGUCAGUGCUCCAAGAAGGCAGCAGUUUCCUUGGUGGUGGAGUCAGAAGGAGAGUCUUUGGGAAUUCUCCUGGAUAGAGGCAUGCUGGUGGCUUCAGGGGGCUUGGCGGACAUCAGGAGCCCUGGGGAAUCGGAGCAGGUGUGUAGGCUUUAGGUGGGAGGCGCCUCCAUAUCCCCACCUGACAACCCUUCCUCGCUCUGGCUCCACGAGACCUGAAGUUUGGAAAUCAGCAUCUGAAUCCGUUAUACAGCUUGUCCCAGGAUGUCAGCAUUCAGAGAAAACAGCAGGCCCGUGGGGCACAGUGGCAUAUCGAUGCCAGCAUGGGAGGUAAAACUUCUCU